GUACCUGCUUCGGCAGUACAUAUACUAAAAUUGGAACGAUACAGAGAAGAUUAGCAUGGCCCCUGCGCAAGGAUGACACCCUA
rfam:Ciona savignyi cont_36592, whole genome shotgun sequence.